rnacentral:tRNA from 1 species
GAGGGGAUAGCUCAGUGGUAGAGCGUGUGCUUAGCAUGCAUGGGGUACUGGUUCCAGUCCUCA